GCAAGCACUCAAACUGUGCAGUGCAUUCAAAACUGACAAUAUUUAUUUAUUGUUUAUUGUGGAGCACUCUUUGUUACUUUUUUUUUUGCAUGGAAACAUUUUUUGCACACAUCCCGCUGGAAGUGAACAUACACAUCAUAAAUUUACCUGUUCUCAUGUGCAAUCAAAGUGUGAAAAAUUAUGCAGUUCCAUAAGCAAUCCCCGAAGGAUGCUGCAAUUAGCUAAAUUAGUUGGUGAGCGAGUGCUAGUUGUGCAAUGGCACUUUGAACGUCGCACACCUGCCGAACACAAGCACUCAAUUUACAACGUUAUCAUUGGGGAAUGCGCUAAAAAGCUAAUCUAGCUGAUUUAUGCACAUAUUCGAAGCUAAAAGGUGACGCUUGCACACAGUUGGUUGAUUGUGCAUAAAGCUGCGGCGCAUUGGGUGUGCGGCGGUGAACACAUUUACCAUAAUUUCUGUAUUGAAAAUUGAAAAAGAGAAGGUGCAUCAGCAAAACAAUCAAGAAAUUUAAACAAAGUGUCAGUUGUGACAGCUUACGGCGUCAGUGACUUUAGUUGCACACUGAGUGGCCUAACGCUUGCGACUCUACUCUAGGGUUUAAUGCAUGCACAUACAUACAUACAUGUACGCAUAACGGUGUAGUAUGUAAUUGCACUUGUUUCGUUGUGAAUUGCUUAACGAACAGCUCGUGCUACAUGCACAUACACAUAUGCGGAUGUAUGUACAUAUUUGGGUGUGCUGUAGGUGACAAUGCAUUGAAAGCUUUUAGAAUGGGCGCGGCUUAUAAUGACAGUAAUGUGAAGUGUUGGAAAUUUCCUUAAUGGCAAUUAACAUGGAAAUGGUGAUGCUUUUUGGGAAUGGAGCUUAUUUUUAAUUUUUUUAUGCAUUUGCUUUGAGAGUGAAUCCCUUGGCUUGAUUUGAUAUAAAAAUUGAGGUUAUUAUUUGUAAUCAAACUGGAUAAAUAACUUUUAAAUUUUUUA